AGACCCGAAACCCGGUGAUCUAGCCAUGGGCAGGUUGAAGGUUGGGUAACACUAACUGGAGGACCGAACCGACUAAUGUUGAAAAAUUAGCGGAUGACCUGUGGCUGGGGGUGAAAGGCCAAUCAAACCGGGAGAUAGCUGGUUCUCCCCGAAAGCUAUUUAGGUAGCGCCUCGUGAAUUCAUCUCCGGGGGUAGAGCACUGUUUCGGCUAGGGGGCCAUCCCGGCUUACCAACCCGAUGCAAACUGCGAAUACCGGAGAAUGUUAUCACGGGAGACACACGGCGGGUGCUAACGUCCGUCGUGAAGAGGGAAACAACCCAGACCGCCAGCUAAGGUCCCAAAGUCAUGGUUAAGUGGGAAACGAUGUGGGAAGGCCCAGACAGCCAGGAUGUUGGCUUAGAAGCAGCCAUCAUUUAAAGAAAGCGUAAUAGCUCACUGGUCGAGUCGGCCUGCGCGGAAGAUGUAACGGGGCUAAACCAUGCACCGAAGCUGCGGCAGCGACACUCAGGUGUUGUUGGGUAGGGGAGCGUUCUGUAAGUCU
rnacentral:rRNA from 1 species